rnacentral:rRNA from 1 species
UACGUAGGGUGCAAGCGUUAAUCGGAAUUACUGGGCGUAAAGCGUGCGCAGGCGGUGAUGUAAGACAGAUGUGAAAUCCCGGGCUUAACCCUGGGAACCGGCAUUUGUGACUGCAUAGCUGGAGUACGGCAGGGGGGGAUGGAAUCCGCGUGUAGCAGUGAAAUGCGUAGAUAUGCGGAGGAACACCGAUGGCGAAGGCAGUCCCCUGGGCCUGUACUGACGCUCAUGCACGAAAGCGUGGGGAGCAAACAGG